rnacentral:tRNA from 1 species
AGCGGGUUAAUCUAAAUUUAAGAUAGCGAACUUCAAAUUCGAAUAUAAGCAUGGUGCUUACUCGUUG